AGGGGGAUUUUGAACAAUGGGGGCAAGCCUGAUGCAGCGACGCCGCGUGUGGGAUGAAGGCCUUCGGGUUGUAAACCUCUUUCGCUGGGUUGAAAGGCCAUGCUUUGGGUGUGGUUGAUUUGAACUGGUAAAGAAGUACCGGCUAACUACUUGCCAGCAGCCGCGGUAAUACGUAGGGUACUAGCGUUGUCCGGAUUUAUUGGGCGUAAAGGGCUUGUAGGUGGUUUUUCGCGUCUGUCGUGAAAUCCUGUGGCUUAACCAUGGGCUUGCGGUGGGUACGUGCAGGCUUGAGUACGGUAGGGGAGACUGGAAUUCCUAGUGUAGCGGUGGAAUGCGCAGAUAUCAGGAGGAACACCGGUGGCGAAGACGGGUCUCUGGGCCGUUACUGACACUGAGGAGCUAAAGCGUGAGGAGCGAACAGU
rnacentral:rRNA from 1 species